rnacentral:rRNA from 1 species
GAUGAACGCUGGCGGCGUGCCUAAUACAUGCAAGUCGAGCGCACGGACGAGAAGCUUGCUUCUCUGAUGUUAGCGGCGGACGGGUGAGUAACACGUGGAUAACCUACCUAUAAGACUGGGAUAACUUCGGGAAACCGGAGCUAAUACCGGAUAAUAUUUUGAACCGCAUGGUUCAAAAGUGAAAGACGGUCUUGCUGUCCCUUAUAGAUGGAUCCGCGCUGCAUUAGCUAGUUGGUAAGGUAACGGCUUACCAAGGCAACGAUGCAUAGCCGACCUGAGAGGGUGAUCGGCCACACGGGAACUGAGACACGGUCCAGACUCCUACGGGAGGCAGCAGUAGGGAAUCUUCCGAAAUGGGCGAAAGCCUGACGGAGCAACGCCGCGUGAGUGAUGAAGGUCUUCGGAUCGUAAAACUCUGUUAUUAGGGAAGAACAUAUGUGUAAGUAACUGUGCACAUCGUGACGGUACCUAAUCAGAAGGCCACGGCUAACUACGUG